rnacentral:rRNA from 1 species
UACGUAGGUGGCAAGCGUUAUCCGGAUUUAUUGGGCGUAAAGAGGACGCAGGCGGUCUUUUAAGUCUGAUGUGAAAGCCUUCGGCUUAACCGGAGUAGUGCAUUGGAAACUGGGAGACUUGAGUGCUGAAGAGGAGAGUGGAACUCCAUGUGUAGCGGUGAAAUGCGUAGAUAUAUGGAAGAACACCAGUGGCGAAAGCGGCUCUCUGGUCUGUAACUGACGCUGAGGUUCGAAAGCGUGGGUAGCAAACAGG